UUAAGCCUUAAUGCAAAUAAACGCGGUGACGUUAAGGGCGAGAGUAACGAAAGUUAGAUGAAAAUUGCAGGGUACUAAAGUGUUUGCUGCCACCCUUUAAUUUUUAGUAGCUGCGUGUAAAUGAGAGAGUGACACGCGCGCGUUGUACACGCACAUUAAAAAUUAUUAACCAGAAAAUAUACGCAAAAUAGUGAUUUGUGCCAUUAAAAAAAAACAACAAAAAAAAAAAGAAUAUUUUUAUUCAAUAAAAACUAGAAAAUUUUCCUCUUAAGUUAAAUAAAAAUUAACACCAAUUAGAAAAACCUUAAAUUUUAAGUGCUGGCAGGAAUAAAAUUAUAUAACGAAAAUAUAAGAAAAAAAAAAAAGAAAAGUCAAAUAAAGCCCUAUGAAGAGAACCCUUUUCACAUAUAAGUGACUACCAAAAAAAAAAAAAAAACCCAAAAAACAAAAAAGAAGAAAUUUCCGAAAGAUUAUACAAAAUUUAUUAUUAAAUACCGUUUCCGCUGAAUGAAAGAGGAAUGAACUAAGGAAAAGCAUUUCAUGCAAAUAUGGUCAUCUUGUUGGUUUAGUUUGUGAUUGUCAAAAAAAAAAAAAAAAAUAUUCGCCGACAUAUUAAAAUUAAAAAUGGAAAUAAGCUCAAAACAAAAUACAACAUUUUCAAGCAGUUGAUAGAGAAAAGUAUUUUUAUUUUAUUUUUUUUUUUUUUUAGAACAAUAAUCAUUAAAAGAAAAUAGUAAAAAAAAAACCAAAAAACAUAUUUGAAAUAUUAGUGACACUAAAACACUGACUAGCCACAGCGAGGAAAUACAUAGACGAAAACACAGAGGAAAAUGUGUUAAAUACUUUUUCUUUUCCUUUUUUUGAUAAUAUACCAAAAAUAUAAAAAAAAAU